GGAGGUAGUGACAAUAAAUCACAAUGCGGAACAUUUGUUUUGCAAUUGUAUUGAGAAAAACGUAAAAGCUUUAUCGAUAAACAAUUGGAGGGCAAGUCUGGUGCCAGCAGCCGCGGUAAUUCCAGCUCCAAUAGCGUAUAUUAACGUUGUUGCAGUUAAAAAGCUCGUAGUUGAAAUGUGAGUUUUAUGGUAUUAAUCUCUUCUGAGACGAAACUUAUAAAACUCGAUUAAUAGGAUAGUAAAAGCGUAUUAAUUUAUGUUUUAUUAUUCUAUUUCUUUUACUGUGAGAAAAUUAGAGUGUUCAAAGCAGACGUUUGUUUGAAUAGAUUAGCAUGGAAUAAUACAUAUGUUUGUAACAUUAUGUAUGGUUUAGUAGUUACAAAGAGAUUAAUAGGAACAGUUGGGGGUAUUCAUAUUCAAUAGUCAGAGGUGAAAUUCUGGGAUUUAUGGAAGAUGAACAAGUGCGAAAGCA
rnacentral:rRNA from 1 species